CGCGGGGUGGAGCAGUGGCAGCUCGUCGGGCUCAUAACCCGGAGGUCGGCGGUUCGAAUCCGUCCCCCGCUA
rnacentral:tRNA from 1 species